rnacentral:lncRNA from 1 species
GGAAGAAGAGAGGAAGCCGCUCCAGAUCCCCUUGUUUCUUGGAUUUUCUUGCGACGACGCAUGAACCCACGCGCCGCCAGUGAUGUUGGCGCGUGGAGCAAACGCAUUGCCAUUGUUCCUGCAGUUCCAGAAGUUUUCCCAGCACUGUUCUGAAUUUUUUUUGGGAAAUUAUUUUGUAAAUUCCAAAUUGUUUAAUGUAAUGUUUGUUUUAUUUUGAAUUUUUAUGAUUUGUAACAUGUAAAUGUGGGUAUGUGAGAAAAACAUAAUGAAAAGGGAUGUGUGUGUGUGUGUGUGUGUGUACUUUCUUUUUUAAAAAAAGAACAAAAAAAGAAUUCAUUUUGUUUUCAUAUUAAUGUUAGAAUUGUUAGAUUUUUUUUUAUUUGAUAAGAUAUGGAUGUCCUUACUGAGGAGAACUUUUCUUUCCUUUUUAAUAGGCCAGUAACAG